rnacentral:rRNA from 1 species
GAUGAACGCUGGCGGCGUGCCUAAUACAUGCAAGUCGAGCGAACAGACGAGGAGCUUGCUCCUCUGACGUUAGCGGCGGACGGGUGAGUAACACGUGGAUAACCUACCUAUAAGACUGGGAUAACUUCGUGAAACCGGAGCCAAUACCGGAUAAUAUAUUCAACCGCAUGGUUCAAUAGUGAAAGACGGUUUUGCUGUCACUUAUAGAUGGAUCCGCGCCGCAUUAGCUAGUUGGUAAGGUAACGGCUUACCAAGGCAACGAUGCGUAGCCGACCUGAGAGGGUGAUCGGCCACACUGGAACUGAGACACGGUCCAGACUCCUACGGGAGGCAGCAGUAGGGAAUCUUCCGCAAUGGGCGAAAGCCUGACGGAGCAACGCCGCGUGAGUGAUGAAGGUCUUCGGAUCGUAAAACUCUGUUAUUAGGGAAGAACAAAUGUGUAAGUAACUAUGCACGUCUUGACGGUACCUAAUCAGAAAGCCACGGCUAACUACGUG